rnacentral:rRNA from 1 species
GGUUCCGCAUGGAAGGGCCAUCGCUCAACGGAUAAAAGCUACCCCGGGGAUAACAGGCUUAUCUCCCCCAAGAGUCCACAUCGACGGGGAGGUUUGGCACCUCGAUGUCGGCUCAUCGCAUCCUGGGGCUGUAGUCGGUCCCAAGGGUUGGGCUGUUCGCCCAUUAAAGCGGUACGCGAGCUGGGUUCAGAACGUCGUGAGACAGUUCGGUCCCUAUCCGUCGUGGGCGUAGGAAAUUUGAGAGGAGCUGUCCUUAGUACGAGAGGACCGGGAUGGACACACCGCUGGUGUACCAGUUGUCUUGCCAAAGGCAUCGCUGGGUAGCUAUGUGUGGACGGGAUAAGUGCUGAAAGCAUCUAAGCAUGAAGCCCCCCUCAAGAUGAGAUUUCCCAUUACGCAAGUAAGUAAGAUCCCUCAAAGACGAUGAGGUAGAUAGGUUCGAGG